GACGAACGCUGGCGGCGUGCUUAACACAUGCAAGUCGAACGGAAAGGCUCCAGCUUGCUGGAGUACUCGAGUGGCGAACGGGUGAGUAACACGUGGGUAAUCUGCCCUGCACUCUGGGAUAAGCCUGGGAAACUGGGUCUAAUACUGGAUAUGACCUUUCUCCUUAUGGGGUCUGGUGGAAAGUUUUUCGGUGUAGGAUGAGCCCGCGGCCUAUCAGCUUGUUGGUGGGGUGAUGGCCUACCAAGGCGACGACGGGUAGCCGGCCUGAGAGGGUGAGCGGACACAUUGGGACUGAGAUACGGCCCAGACUCCUACGGGAGGCAGAAGUGGGGAAUAGUGCACAAUGGGCUGAAGCCUGAUGCAGCGACGCCGCGUGAGGUAUGACGGCCUUCGGGUUGUAAACCUCUUUCAGCAGGGACGAAGCGUAAGUGACGGUACCUGCAGAAGAAGCACCGGCUAACUAUGUG
rnacentral:rRNA from 1 species